rnacentral:rRNA from 2 species
AAAUUGAAGAGUUUGAUCAUGGCUCAGAUUGAACGCUGGCGGCAGGCCUAACACAUGCAAGUCGAACGGUAACAGGAAGCAGCUUGCUGCUUUGCUGACGAGUGGCGGACGGGUGAGUAAUGUCUGGGAAACUGCCUGAUGGAGGGGGAUAACUACUGGAAACGGUGGCUAAUACCGCAUAACGUCGCAAGACCAAAGAGGGGGACCUUCGGGCCUCUUGCCAUCAGAUGUGCCCAGAUGGGAUUAGCUAGUUGGUGAGGUAACGGCUCACCAAGGCGACGAUCC